AUUCAACUGCACUUACCAAGACCUGACUCAGUUAAGGAAACUGUUUGGAAGAUUGCUUGUGAAAUGAACCAGGAUGACGUUUCCUCGGUUGUAAGGAGUGAAACUGAAUUCCUUUGUAUCGGCGAGUCACUGUUGAAUUCCAGGAAACCAUAUGAGAGAAGGAAUGACUACAUAGGCCAAAAAAUUAGAGCGAUGGCAAGACUAUUGAUAACGGCAAGGGCUAUAACACCUUUGAAGAGCACCGAAGUCCUUGUUAUGCCCUGUAACUUUCCCCAUGUGAUACAGGCAGUAAGAUAUGUUGCUGGUUAUGAUGUUGAAAGCAACUCGUAUAAAAUCCCAUCAUUGGCUUUGAAAUUGGGACACAGUUUAGCCAAAGUUGCAGGCAUUAUUCAAUGCAAUGCCAUCACUGCAAAUCGCCCUGCUGUUGCAGAGUCUGCAAAGCAAUUUGCCACUUUACAUCAGAAAAAGUGGACAGAGUCCAUUUCAGCUGCCGCAUUGGGUACACUUCAACAGGCCAAAUGGAAUAAACCACAGGUUUGACCCUUUACAGAGGAUGUGUCGGUGCUGCACACGUUUCUUGCUACUGAGCGUGCUAAGUGUAUGAAGGACCUUGAGGAAGAACCCAACAGCAAAAGCUUUGGAAAUCUUCCUAAAGUGACUUUGAUGCAGGUAGUACUAUUUAACAGAAGGAGGGAAGGGGAAGUUUCAAAAAUGGAGCUUCAGUCUUUCACAUCCAGGGAUCUUACGGAGCUGAAUCCAGACAUUGUGAGGGGCCUUACUGACUUCGAGAGGAAGCUUGCAGAGCACUUUGAGAGAGUUGAGAUUCGAGGUAAAAGGUCAAGAAAGGUUCCAGUGCUUCUAACCCCUGACAUGAUCACUGCUAUGGACCUCCUCAUGAUAAGCAGAAAAGAGUGUCAAGUCCACAAAGAAAAUGUGUACAUGUUUACACGGCCAGGUGUCCUUUCCCAUUACAGAGGCUCCGACUGCUUUCGCAAGUAUUCAAACAAUGUGGUGCAAAGAACCCAGAGGCACUCACCUCAACAAGAUUGCGGAAACAAGUCGCCACUUUGUCCACACUACUAAACCUCAAAGAAAAUGAAAUGGAUCAACUUGCCACCUUUCUAGGACAUGACAUCCGUGUCCAUAGAGAAUUCUAUCGGCUUCCAGAGAGUACCCUGCAGCUCGCAAAAGUCAGCAAACUGUUGAUAGCAAUCGAAAAAGGAAGACUGCCUUACCUGCAGGGGAAAGGGCUGGAUGACAUUGAGGUCAAUCCUGAAGUAGAAAUGAGUGAUGAUGAUUCCAGUGAAGAAACCAUUGCUGACCUACAUCAAUGCAAAGGCUCAACAACAGAGACUUCUAGGGACCAGACACUUCUGAGGCAAACACCAG